rnacentral:rRNA from 1 species
GGGUGACUCUUGAUUUUAGUGGCAAACGGGUGAGUAAUGUAGAGGAAUCUACCCAGUAGUAAGGAAUAACUCUAAGAAAUUAGAGCUAAUGCCAUAUAAUACCGCUUCGGCGGGAAAGAUUUAUCGCUAUUGGAUGAGCCUCUAUCGGAUUAGCUUGUUGGUGGGGUAAUGGCCUACCAAGGCAACGAUCCGUAGCUGGUCUGAGAGGAUGAUCAGCCACACUGGAACUGAGAUACGGUCCAGACUCC